GGAUAUAGGUCAGUGGUAAAGCAUUUGCCUAGCAUGCACAAGGCCCUAGGUUCAAUACCCAACUCCA
rnacentral:tRNA from 1 species